UUCACAAACUUUUUCCACGGUACACCAACGGUCUAAAAAAAAUAUUUGGGCAUUUGAAAUCUUAAAAUCAGGCACUUUGCAAGUCAUCUAUACCAAUACCCCAGUCUGUGACUUUUAAAGGCUCUCGGACUUUCAUUUCAGUUGAAAGUAGAUUUUCCGGUAGGAUGUACAGUCUUCUGAGGAGCAAGUUGUUAUCUAGUUACCCUUGCUGCUAUAAUUCACUAAAGCCGGCGGCUGCCCCACUCGAAGGUUCCGCUUUAUUGACUCGCAGCUUUUACUAAGCACAAGGUGAUAAUUUUCCUUUCAGAGACAUCUUCGGUAAUUAUUGGUACAUUUUUUUGGCGUUCUUUCUACAGUCGGCUUUACUUUAUCAGAGCGACUCAGAUUAUAACCUGUCAAGAACUUUCACUUAAAAUUUCUGGAGAAUAUUUCAUGCUAGAAAACUUGAUAACAGCAACAAAAACAGCAAACUGUUGUUUACAGUACAGUAACUACUUCUCUACGUGCAGGAUCUAAUGACCGUCUCCUAACUGGAAAAAAGCAAUGCACCCUCAUUGUAACUAUUGGGGAGAAAACAGAAUGCGGUGAACUCGAGAGAAAGUGGGUAAAAGAGACAGGUUGGCCAGUGCACCACUUCUGCGUACCACUGGAGCGUUCGUAAAAUUACAGGCUAGAAAUGAAGCUCCAAAGGACCAAGUAACAAUUUGUUCUAAAAAGGUAAAAAGGAAUAAAGGCAGAAAAUCGUCAGUGGGCUAAUCUUCAAAUCCUUGACACAGACGCUCAUACUGAGCUUUCCUAUUAGCUCAUGAUGAUAUGUUGCACUUAGCUUGAGAACCGCUGGCCCACAUUAGGUAUAUUAGAUACUGUUUGGAAAGC